rnacentral:lncRNA from 1 species
UUUGUAUUCCUUCUUUGCAUGUGUUUUCUUCUUUAGUUCUUCUUUGAUAGGUUUGUUGCAGUUGGCAAUGAAGUGGCCAGGCUUUUUGCAGUUGUAGCAUAGGUCAUUCAUUUGCUCCUGACUGCUGUAAUUGCUGACCUUCUUUGGCUUGCUGAUUCUUCCUUGUCACAUGAAUCUUCUUAGUCUCUUUACCAGCAUAGCAAAGUCAUCGUCAUCGUCUUCAACAUCAUCAGAGUCAAUCUCAGUGUUAACCCUUGAUAUACUUUCAGUUGCCUUGAGAGAAACACCAUUAUCCUUCCUUCUUCCUUCUGAUAAGGUUUCAGCACGUUGGGUCAGCUCCAGUUCGUAGGUCAGGAGAUUGCCGAAUAACUGUUGAACUGUCAUCUCAUUAAGAUUCUUUGAUUCUCUUAUUGUUGUGGUCUUUGCAUCCCACCUGCUCGGUAGGGCUCUCAUGAACUUUAUG